CCGUGGCUCGGCUGGCGGCUCCCGGCCCCGCGGGGGCUUGUCCUGGCGGCCGCGGCUCUUCGGCCCCGGCGCCGCCCCCGGCCGGCAGGGGGAGCGCGGGGGAGCGGGUGCCGCACCCGCCUCAUCGGCGUGGGGGAAGGUGGGAGAGGCCGACCCGGGCCCGGCGGGGGUCAGUGCAGGUGGCAGAGGUGGGAGCGGGCCCGGUACGGCGGCAGACACGACGGAGGGCCGGCCGCCUUGCCGCGGGGCUGAGGAACGGCGGCCGGGGAAGGAUGCGCUGAUACAGGCGUACCUGCUGACCAGAGACUAGGCCGUGGGGCUCGAGUCCGCAGGCUCCGCCUAACAAAGAGCUAGCCGAGGACUUCUGAAAGUGUUUACCCCUGUGAUAGGAAACGGCUUUUCUGACCCAUUUGCAAGUGGCAUCGAGGGACUGCACAAUUCACAUGGUUGUCCAUCUCUGCCACCUUCCCAUCCCAAACUCUGGAAGUCCCAUCCAAAGGUCAUCACUGCAUUUCUGCCACAGUGCUGAAGAGAGCACAGCGAUGCCUUCUGACCCAUUACUUUUAUGGACAAAUAUUAUCUUUGAUGAUUGUUGGGGGUGGUUUGCUUGGUUUUUUAAGUGCCUAAAGAGUAUUAAAAGGCAACUGCAAGAACAUGGAAAAAUGCCGUAAGAAGAAAUCAAAAGUCUGAGAAUUAUUUUACAACAACAUACUAUGCCUUGGAGUAGUUGAGCUUUCUAGUGCUUGGCUGAACACCGCUGUAGCCCCAAGUUUCUCUGCAAUAUUCUAAAUGGCUUUUUACAAUAUCUUUCCCCAAAAUCAUAUUCUCCCACAUUUUGCCU